rnacentral:lncRNA from 1 species
GUAGGCAGGCUGUGUGGUGUUUGCAUUUCUAUCCGUCGCGAAUCGCGCUGUUCUUCAGCCAUCCGGCCUCGGCGACCCUGCGGCCUUGGAGCUUCUGCCUCGCACGAGCGUCUAGUCAGGAUACGGGGUGGAGGGGGCGCGGAUACGCAGCCAUCCGGGAGGCUUGAGAGACGCCUUGGCGGCAAGAUCCGAGCUGGGCCCGGGACUGAAGGAGGCGUGGGGUGGAAGCUGCCGCUGCUCAGGCCGCCCGGGUGGGACGAAGCUCUCCCGGUCUUACUCGCGGUGGCGGUUACAAUCCUGGUGGCUUCCCGGAGCCUGGGGCAGUCAGUCCCGCCUAGCCGGCCCUGCGCCCUGCUGCUAGUACAGAAGCCUCCUCAUUCCCGGUGGACGGUGGGGCGUCAGGACGCAUGGACCGGCCCUAGUCACUGUCACGACGAUCACUCUUUCGAUUUGCUUCUUCCUUUCAAAGGUGAGCCAAGAUGGGUGCAUACAAAUACAUCCAGGAGCUGUGGAGGAAGAAGCAGUCCGACGUGAUGCGCUUCCUUCUAAGGGUCCGCUGCUGGCAGUACCGCCAGCUCUCUGCGCUGCACAGGGCUCCCCGCCCCACCCGGCCUGAUAAGGCGCGAAGGCUGGGAUACAAGGCUAAGCAAGGUGGGUGAGAUCACAUUGUGGGUGAUCGAUACGACACUAUCCCGGAAAAGCCUGUGAGCAUCAGUUUGGAACCUCCCCCACACACACCCAAAAAGACCUGGUUAAUUUAGCCAUGCCAA